AUUGAACGCUGGCGGCAGGCCUAACACAUGCAAGUCGAGCGAGUGGCGGACGGGUGAGUAAUGUAUGGGGAUCUGCCUGAUGGAGGGGGAUAACUACUGGAAACGGUAGCUAAUACCGCAUACCAUCAGAUGAACCCAUAUGGGAUUAGCUUGUAGGUGAGGUAACGGCUCACCUAGGCGACGAUCCCUAGCUGGUAUGAGAGGAUGAUCAGCCACACUGGGACUGAGACACGGCCCAGACUCCUACGGGAGGCAGCAGUGGGGAAUAUUGGACAAUGGGGGAAAGCCUGAUGCAGCCAUGCCGCGUGUAUGAAGAAGGCCUUCGGGUUGUAAAGUACUUUCAGUCGGGAGGCGUUACCGGCAGAAGAAGCACCGGCUAACUCCGUGCCAGCAGCCGCGGUAAUUC
rnacentral:rRNA from 1 species